CAGUAGCCGCGGUAAUACGUAGGGUGCGAGCGUUAAUCGGAAUUACUGGGCGUAAAGCGGGCGCAGACGGUUACUUAAGCAGGAUGUGAAAUCCCCGGGCUCAACCUGGGAACUGCGUUCUGAACUGGGUGACUAGAGUGUGUCAGAGGGAGGUAGAAUUCCACGUGUAGCAGUGAAAUGCGUAGAGAUGUGGAGGAAUACCGAUGGCGAAGGCAGCCUCCUGGGAUAACACUGACGUUCAUGCCCGAAAGCGUGGGUAGCAGACAGGAUUAGAUACCCCUGUAGUCCCUGUCUCUUAUAC
rnacentral:rRNA from 1 species